UAGGGAAUCUUCGGCAAUGGACGAAAGUCUGACCGAGCAACGCCGCGUGAGUGAAGAAGGUUUUCGGAUCGUAAAACUCUGUUGUUAGAGAAGAACAAGGACGUUAGUAACUGAACGUCCCCUGACGGUAUCUAACCAGAAAGCCACGGCUAACUACGUGCCAGCAGCCGCGGUAAUACGUAGGUGGCAAGCGUUGUCCGGAUUUAUUGGGCGUAAAGCGAGCGCAGGCGGUUUCUUAAGUCUGAUGUGAAAGCCCCCGGCUCAACCGGGGAGGGUCAUUGGAAACUGGGAGACUUGAGUGCAGAAGAGGAGAGUGGAAUUCCAUGUGUAGCGGUGAAAUGCGUAGAUAUAUGGAGGAACACCAGUGGCGUAGGCGGCUCUCUGGUCUGUAACUGACGCUGAGGCUCGAAAGCGUGGGGAGCAAACAGG
rnacentral:rRNA from 1 species